rnacentral:lncRNA from 1 species
GAAGCUUGAGUGCCUAGUGCCUCAAGGGUGACACCUCAAAUGGUUCACACAACACCAAAUACACUUGGAAUAACAUGAGAGAAUUCUACAACUCAUGAAAUCGACUAGCCCUUCUAUUACACACACUAGUGCCGAUUUUGGUGAAUAAUAUGAUGCUUAUAUAGUGUGCUACAAUUAGGGUUAUGCCAUGUAAACCCUAAUUGUCAUGUCCUUUCAUUUCCAUGACCCAUGGGUUAUGUAACCUCCAUGGAGCAUCAAUGGAGCAUCCUAUGGGUUUAACCCAACUUGAUUAUCCAUGGAGCUUACUAUAUAAGUUAUGGAUGAUUUGCACAAUCAACCCAUAUAUUUAAUUAGUCUUCUUUUGAUCACAUAAUGAAUUCUAAANAUCAACCCAUAUUUAAUUAGUCUUCUUUUGAUCACAUAAUGAAUUCUAAAUUAAUUAUUGAUCAAUACUAAUUAAAUAUUAUUAUUCUUAUUAUUAUUAUACUAGAACUUAUAAUAUAUU